UACGUAGCCGAACUGAGAGGUUGAUCGGCCACAUUGGGACUGAGACACGGCCCAAACUCCUACGGGAGGCAGCAGUAGGGAAUCUUCCACAAUGGACGAAAGUCUGAUGGAGCAACGCCGCGUGAAUGAAGAAGGCCUUCGGGUCGUAAAAUUCUGUUGUCAGAGAAGAACGUGCGUGAGAGUAACUGUUCACGUAUUGACGGUAUCUGACCAGAAAGCCACGGCUAACUACGUGCCAGCAGCCGCGGUAAUACGUAGGUGGCGAGCGUUGUCCGGAUUUAUUGGGCGUAAAGGGAACGCAGGCGGUCUUUUAAGUCUGAUGUGAAAGCCUUCGGCUUAACCGAAGUAGUGCAUUGGAAACUGGAAGACUUGAGUGCAGAAGAGGAGAGUGGAACUCCAUGUGUAGCGGUGAAAUGCGUAGAUAUAUGGAAGAACACCAGUGGCGAAAGCGGCUCUCUGGUCUGUAACUGACGCUGAGGUUCGAAAGCGUGGGUAGCAAACAGGAUUAGAUACCCUGGUAGUCCACGCCGUAAACGAUGAGUGCUAAGUGUUGGAGGGUUUCCGCCCUUCAGUGCUGCAGCUAACGCAUUAAGCACUCCGCCUGGGGAGUACGGUCGCAAGACUGAAACUCAAAGGAAUUGACGGGGGCCCGCACAAGCGGUGGAGCAUGUGGUUUAAUUCGAAGCAACGCGAAGAACCUUACCAGGUCUUGACAUCUUCUGACAAUUCCAGAGAUGGAACGUUCCCUUCGGGGACAGAAUGACAGGUGGUGCAUGGUUGUCGUCAGCUCGUGUCGUGAGAUGUUGGGUUAAGUCCCGCAACGAGCGCAACCCUUAUUGUCAGUUGCCAUCAUUAAGUUGGGCACUCUGGCGAGACUGCCGGUGACAAACCGGAGGAAGGUGGGGAUGACGUCAAAUCAUCAUGCCCCUUAUGACCUGGGCUACACACGUGCUACAAUGGACGGUACAACGAGUCGCUAACUCGCGAGGGCAAGCUAAUCUCUUAAAGCCGUUCUCAGUUCGGAUUGCAGGCUGCAACUCGCCUGCAUGAAGUCGGAAUCGCUAGUAAUCGCGAAUCAGCAUGUCGCGGUGAAUACGUUCCCGGGCCUUGUACACACCGCCCGUCACACCAUGAGAGUUUGUAACACCCAAAGUCGGUGGGGUAACCUUUUGGAGCCAGCCGCCUAAGGUGGGACAGAUGAUUGGGGUGAAGUCGUAACAAGGUA
rnacentral:rRNA from 1 species